CAUCCACAAAUCACUCACUGUUGUCUCUCAGCGCCGCUAGAAAGCGAGAGAAAGUAGAAGAAAGUACGAGAAUAGAGAGGCGUUGAUGAAUUCAGUUGAAGGUUCUGCAGACAGAGGAACGGCUAUUGGAGUGAUGUCUCUCAGUAAAGAGCUGGUCUUCUUGAUCUUACAGUUCCUUGAUGAGGAAAACCUAAAAGAAACUGCUCACAUUUUGGAGCGGGAAACAGGUUAUUUCUUUGACAUGAAGUACUUUGAGGGCCUGGCACUUAGUGGGAACUGGGAUGAGGUUGAAAGAUAUCUCUCUGGUUUCACAAAAGUGGAGGACAACAAGUUUUCACUCAAGAUUUAUUUUGAAAUCAGAAAGCAGAAGUUCCUUGAGGCAUUGGAUAACCAUGAUGGCUCCAAGGCUUUAGGUAUCCUUGUGAAUGAUCUGAAAGUUUUUGCCUCAUACAAUGAAGAUCUGUACAAGGAGAUGACUCAGCUUCUGACUACAGAUGAUUUCAGGAAACACGAAUCUCUCUCCACAUAUAGAGACACAAAUUCUGCAAGAAUAAUCAUGAUGAAGGAUCUGAAGAAAGUUAUUGAGGCAAAUCCCCUUUUUCGUGGUAAACUAAAGUUUCCUAAUUUCAGAAGUCAAAGGUUGCGACGUCUCAUUAACCAAAGCUUGAAUUGGCAGCAUGUACAUUGUUCCUAUCCUCAACCAGACCCUGUCAUAAAAACUCUUUUUUUGGAUCAUGUUUGUCAACCACUAAACAAUCAUUCAAUUGUAGACAAUCCUCCGCCUUCUGAAGUUGCAUCAGCACCAGUUCCAACUUCCCCCUCCAGUUGUACUUUUACUCCAUCUACUGUGACUCAUUCUGCAGUUUCUGCUGGAACUGUUGGUCUCUGUGCACCAAGAAACCCAGCUGAAACUUUGGAGGAACUCAAGGAUUCAGAAAGUUUGUCUAAAACUGGGACACUUGAGACUUUGGAUGAGGUAACGUCAGGAUUCACUUAUCCAGGCCAAGGUCAAAGUUCAGUAUUCAGAUUACCUGAUGACUUUCCGAAGUUAGUUCAGAAGACAUUGAAUGAAGGAUCAUCUCCAGUGAGCAUGGAUUUUCAUCCUGUUCAAUCAACCCUUCUUAUAGUUGGAACCAUCGUUGGGGACAUAGGUUUGUGGGAAGUUCUUUCUGGAGAGAAGUUACUAUCCAGAAGUUUUAAGGUUUGGGAUAUUGGAGCUUGUUCACCGAUUUUCAAGGCAGCUAUGGUCAAAGACCCAUGUGUAUCAGUUAAGUGUAUACGAUGGAGCCCUGAUGGUUCAAUAUUUGGGGUUGCAUAUUCAAAACAUAUUUUACAAUUAUACUCCUAUGGUGGUGCCAGUGAUGUUCAGCCAAAAUUGGAGUUUGAUGCUCAUGUUGGUGGUGUAAAUGACCUCGCCUUCUGUGCCCCUGAUAAGAAACUUAUGGUCAUAAGCUGUGGUGAUGACAAGAUUGUUAAGGUGUGGGAUGCAGUUAAUGGUGUCAAAAUGUUCACUUUUGAGGGUCAUGAGGCCUCUGUAUAUUCUGUCUUACCUCACACCAAGGAGAGAAUUCAUUUUAUCUUUUCUACAUCAGUGGAUGGCAAGAUAAAAGCAUGGUUGUAUGACAAUUUGGGAGCGAGAGUUGAUUUUGAUGCUCCAGGUCAUUGGUGCACAACAAUGGCAUACAGUGAUGAUAAUAAAAGGAUUUUUUCAUGUGGCACUAGUAAAGAUGGAGAGUCAUUCCUUGUUGAAUGGAAUGAGACUGAAGGUUCUUUGAAGAGAAUUUACCAGGGACUUCGGAAGCCUUCAAUAGGGAUCCUGCAAUUUGAUACUGCUAAGAACCAGUUUUUGGCUGUUGGUGAUGACCAUUUAAUCAAACUUUGGGAUAUGGACAACCUUGAACUCUUGACAACUAUUGAUGCAGAUGGAGACCUACCAGCAAGUCCAUGUGUUCGCUUCAACAAGGAGGGAACGUUAUUAGCUGUUUUUGCAAAGGGAAACAGAAUCAAAAUCUUGGCAAAUGAUUCCAGUCCUAAGUUGCAGCAAACUUCUGAAAAUAAUUACCUUGCUUCCUCUAGUCUCUCUGAAAUACUGAGUGAGCUUUCAAUCAGCCAAAUUUCAUCCGUUGGUAGCGCUGGCAUGGAAGAUGGUGGUGUUCCUGUGAAUGAAGGAACAAGGAGCUUGGAGAAUGUAAAACCCAUUUUAACUGAGGAAGCCAAUGGGAAUAUCUCUAACAUCUAUUAUCCUCCUCAGUUCCAGUUCUUGAGUCUUCCUGCUAAGACAAACAAGGUGUCGAGUUUGAUCUACAACAAUGCAGGUGAUUCCAUUUUGGCAUUAGGAUCAAAUGUUCAUGUGGUUUGGAAAUGGCCGCAAAAUGACCUUAAUAUGAGUGGAAAGGCAACCACCAAGAUUCCCCCUCAAUUAUGGAAACCAAAAGGCAGGUCACAACUGAUUGGUGAUUACAGUGCUGGAACCAACCCUGCAGACGUUGUAGCAUGUUUUGUUUUUUCCAAAAAUGAUUCAUAUGGCAUAUCAGCUUCAGGAGGGAAGAUUUCUGUGUUCAACAUGCUGACAUAUAAGAAAAUGACAACUUUUAUGUCUUCACCACCAAUGGCAACAUUUCUUGCUCUUCAUCCUCAAGAUAACAACAUAAUUGCAGUAGGCCUGGAUGAUUCCACAAUUGUGAUUUACAAUGUUCGCAAUGAUGAGGUUGAGAACAAGCUUAAGGGCCACUUUGGAAAGAUCACUGGCCUUGCCUUCUCAGAGGUUCUGAAUGUACUUGUUUCAUCAGGAGCAGAUGCUCAGAUUGUUGUGUGGAAUUAUGAUGGAUGGGAAAGGGUGAACAGCAGAUCCAUGCAGAUCCCUGAUGAGGGGCCACCACUGUCAGACAUCCGAAUCCAGUUUCACCAGGAUCAAAUUCACUUCCUUGCUGUGCAUGACACUUGUCUUGAAAUAUAUGAAGCAAAGAAACUAGAAUGCAUUGGACAGUGGGUCACAGGAAAAUUUUCGGCAGAAAUCUCGCAUGCAACAUUUUCUUCUGAUAGCCAGUUAGUAUAUGCAAUCUUUCUAGAUGGAACGGCUUCUGUAUUUAACACUCCAAAUUUCCACCUGCAAUGUCGGAUUGAUUUCAAUGCUUGUAUUCCUCUCGAUAUCAGAUGUGAUGUAUACCCACUUGUGGUUGCCGCUCAUCCAAAUAACCCAAACCAGUUUGCGGUUGGCUUAUCUAAUGGUGGCAUCCAUAUCAUUGAGCCCCUUGAAUCUGUAGGGAAAUGGACAGCAUUGCCACCAGUUGUUGAUCCAUAUCAUUGAGCCCCUUGAAUCUGUAGGGAAAUGGACAGCAUUGCCACCAGUUGUUGACCCGCUUGCCUGAUGACUCAUCCAGAAUUGCCCUACCAUGUGUUUUGAGUGAGGAAGCAAGCCUUGGCUUGAGGUUAUGUGCAUAAAUAACUCAGAGUUGAGCUAAAAUAAGGACAGCAAGCUUCAGCUUCAGCCUCCUAAAUAGCCUUUACUACCCUCAAACUUCUGAACGAGCUAUGUUCCAGAAAAUUACUGUAGAUGAGAUGCUAUCCCAAUACAAGAUGUAUUCUGACUGUCUUCUCCAAACUGGGCAUUGGCCUUCAGUAAUAUGCACCUUUUGACAUUCCACAAGUCUCUGAAAUUAUCCUUUUCUCAGGAGGAACUGUUACAGGUAACUUUAUUUUAAAGGGGGAAGAGUGCUGGCUACCUAGCAAAGGCAUUUUGGGGAAGCCUCUGUAACUUUUGAAAAGGAGAAUAGAUGGUGUGACCCUUUAUCCCUUGACUUUAUAUGCAAUUAUAUGGUUACUCUUCAGAAGUCAUCUUUU